UUUUUAUACUAUAAUUUUUCAAAUAAAAAUUCACAAUUAAAGUCACUCUACUGGGUUCAAUGCCCAGGCCCAUUUGCAUGGGCACAGACUUGCUCAAGUGAGUCCCAUGUGUUGGGACUUGUUGCAAGUCUGGCCCAAUUCAUGCCAUGUCUCAAACCAUUACACAAUAAUAACGUUUAUUACAAAAAAAAAAAGGUCCAACUGCUACGACCCUAUACUAAAUUAAACAAAAACUGCAUUUAAAAAUCAUUGUAACAAUCCAUUUUAUCUACUGAAUGUCCCUGAAUUUACAGCAUAAUCCUAAGUGUAACUAACAUCUAAAAGAAAAGGAAAAAUUCUUUUAAAAGUAAACAAAAGGAAAAUUCUUCCUAGCUUCAGGUUUUUCCUUGCCAUCAGAUUCUCCAAACUAAAGUGCAGACUUGUAAGAAAUCAGCUAUAGAGUUGUUUCUCAUAAAUCCACAUUUCAAGCUCCAGCCCUUAUAUUGCUUAGCCUUAUUACCACUCACAUGCCAAAACAACAAAGAUAAUAUGCAGAUUUCAGUAUACAUAGAGAUUUAUUAACUAGUGUAUCUUUGACUUAACUGACAAAGCAAUCAGACCUUGACAAAUUGAGCACAUAUAUAGCACAAUAUUUCAGAUUUCAUGAUUAAAUUCAGCAGCCAUUUAAGGCAGUAUUAACACAUGGCUUAUAGACAUUAAUCAACCCUAAGUUCACAUAGUCAUGGUUUCUAAGACUAACAACAAAGUUCAGCCAAACAAAACAGGUUUCAAACACAAAUUUUGAACUCAAAAUUAAUUCUAUUUAAGAUGGACAUUGUCACAUACCUUGAAACUGAAAAUACAAUAGAGAAAUGACGAAAUAAAGGUCAAGGAAAAAAGAACCAAGAAGCUUCAACAACCAAACACAACAACAAACCCAGUAAAAUGAUACUUAGAAUGCUAGCAGAAUGAACCAACGCUUAUCCAAUAAUCCAUAGCCAAAGAAACCAGAAGUUAAAAGGAACACUGGAUGCGUUUUUUGACAUAAAAGGAGGAAUUUUCAGAGGUUUAGUUCGAAAAUCAGGAGUGAUGAACAAAAGAAACCCUUGAAUCUUAAAGUGCCUUUUCUUUUACUUUUAGUAAUUCUCAGAAUGUUUUUCUCUGUAUUUUCAGGACCUUUUUUGUGCAGAAAAUGCUCAUGAAUGUAUGUGUGUGUGAGGGAAUGUUUUCCUUUUAUAGAGUGCACAAAAAAGCAUCAAAAAGGAAUAUUCUAACCUACAAAUUCUGAAAAUCAGAAUAGUACAACAUCUUUUACAGCUGUCUGUCCUUUUCCUUAUCCAAUAUCAGCAUUUUAUGCUAAGGAUGGGGACAACUGUGCAAAGACUAGAACAUUCUAAUAUUUAACAUUUGUAAAAGUCCAGUUUUACCAUUUUAAUUACUGACUAUUUCAGCUUUGUCCUAUGUUCUGAUUUCUUAUCAAUUACAACCAUCUUUAGGACCUUCGGCUAAGUGAUUAGGUUGCCUGGUGGUAUUGCAGUUCAUUUUCUGAAAUUAAUACUAAAGUUUAAAUUGUUGCUCAGAGGUUCAAACAUAAAUUUAAAAUCAGUUAAUCCUAAGCAAUCAAAACAUGUAAGCAAUCAAAACAUGUAAACUCAGAUUCAAACAACUAAUAAGAUUCAGCAUGCUUUAUGCAAAGAAACAUCAGAAAUCAGAAUUAACCUAUUUUAACUGAGACUAGGCUGAAUCAGGCUAAAGCUAAAUCAAUAUGAAAUUAGCUGAAAUAGGUAAUUAAUUAACCAACUAACCAUAUCCUAAUUAAACUGAUGGAUACUAAGAAUAUACUUGGACGAAGAAUAAACAUGAAAGAACAAAGAAACAAAACAAAAAGGGUUAUCAGAGACUAAACAUACUAAAACUUGGCAAAUUAAAGUCCUAAUGAUGAAGUCUAAACAUGCAAUUAAUGAAGCUAAAUAGUUUGAAGAAAAGAAAAGAUAACCUAAAUCAUACGGCUAAAUCAAAAGCAAUUAUCAUGAAGGGGAAUCAACGAAAGGCAAAAGAAAACUAAAGAAAAAGCAAAAGAAAAUACCUAUUGCUCAUUUUCUUUCAAAAUAAAACUGGCCUAACUUCGAAUUCUGACACAAACUUUUCGGGGUAAAAUGAACUUUAGACAACCAUUAAUCGACUGCUCUUAUCAAGAGCAAUGGAUUCAUAAAAGUCUUUGUGUUCAAAAGGAUUAUAGGGUAUGAUUUUGGGGCGAUUUGGGUGAACUAGGGUUUUUAGGCAUCGAUCUUAGAUUUAAGAUUCGAGAUGUUUGGUGAUGAUUCGAAGGAACUGGGUUAGAGAUUUGGAAAGGGGAGAUGACGGGGGUUCUAGGGCAUUGAUUUGGAACACCGAAACCGUCGUGAGGCGAUUUCCGGUGGUGGUGGGCGGCGAAGACGAUGAGGUAUUUUAGGGUGGCUAAGGUUUGGGGUUUGAUAUAGAGAGGGUCGUGAAAUGGGGAGU
rnacentral:lncRNA from 1 species